AACGAACGCUGGCGGCAUGCCUAACACAUGCAAGUCGAACGAGACCUUCGGGUCUAGUUGCGCACGGGUGCGUAACGCGUGGGAACCUGCCCUUAGGUUCGGAAUAACUCCCCUAAAGGGGUGCUAAUACCGGAUAAUGUCUUCGGACCAAAGAUUUAUCGCCUUUGGAUGGGCCCGCGUUGUAUUAGCUUGUUGGUAGGGUAAAAGCCUACCAAGGCUACGAUCCAUAGCUGGUCUGAGAGGAUGAUCAGCCACACUGGGACUGGGACACGGCCGGGAAUAUUACGGGAGGCAGCAGUGGGGAAUAUUGGAAAAUGGGCGAGGGCAUGAAGCAGCAAGGCCGCGUGAGUGAUGAAGGCGUGAGGGUUGUAAAGCUCUUUAACCCGGCAUGAUAAUGACAGUACCGGGAGAAUAAGCACCGGCUAACUUCGUG
rnacentral:rRNA from 1 species